UGCGCAGGCGGACCAAUAAGUCAGUGGUGAAAUCCCGGGGCUCAACCCCGGAACUGCCAUUGAUACUGUUGGUCUUGAAUACGGUUGAAGUAGGCGGAAUGUAGCAUGUAGCGGUGAAAUGCAUAGAGAUGCUACAGAACACCGAUCGCGAAGGCAGCUUACUAAGCCGAUAUUGACGCUCAGGCACGAAAGCGUGGGGAGCGAACAGGAUUAGAUACCCUGGUAGUC
rnacentral:rRNA from 1 species